UGGGGAAUCUUGGACAAUGGGGGCAACCCUGAUCCAGCCAUGCCGCGUGAGUGAUGAAGGCCUUAGGGUCGUAAAGCUCUUUCGCCUGUGAAGAUAAUGACGGUAGCAGGUAAAGAAACCCCGGCUAACUCCGUGCCAGCAGCCGCGGUAAUACGGAGGGGGUUAGCGUUGUUCGGAAUUACUGGGCGUAAAGCGCACGUAGGCGGACCAGAAAGUUGGGGGUGAAAUCCCGGGGGCUCAACCCCGGAACUGCCUCCAAAACUAUUGGUCUAGAGUUCGAGAGAGGUGAGUGGAAUUCCAAGUGUAGAGGUGAAAUUCGUAGAUAUUUGGAGGAACACCAGUGGCGAAGGCGGCUCACUGGCUCGAUACUGACCUGAGGUGCGAAAGUGUGGGGAGCAAACAGGAUUAGAUACCCUGGUAGUCCACACCGUAAAACGAUGAAUGCCAGUCGUCGGGUAGCAUGCUAUUCGGUGACACACCUAACGGAUUAAGCAUUCC
rnacentral:rRNA from 1 species